UCCCUGGAGGACUAGUGGUUAGGCCACGGCGCCCUCACCUCUGCAACCCGGGUUCGAUUCCCAGUCAGAGAA